AUUUAUAUUUUAAAAAUAUACAAAAGUUGUUUUUCAUCAAAAUAUCUUUUUACCUAAAAAUGACACGCAAAAUGUGCAGCGCGUAUUUUCUCACCUCUGACGUUAUAAUCUAACAUUAAAGUAAUAAGAUUUUACAUUGAGUCACGAUGACAUACUGGCAGUUGAUUAGAUAGACGAUCAUGAUUAUUGAAUCACGAUUAGAUCAUUGUAGAUAUUUGAUCGAUUUACAAAGUUUUUAUAAUGUUUUGUGGAAAUAAAAGUCUCGCUACGGUCAGAUCUAGACGCGAUCCGGCCGCUGCGAUGAGCGGAACCGUCAAACAACAGUCGCAGUCUUCCGUGCUGGCCUCGUUCACCCGAAGAAUUCUGUCAUACGGUCGCAGAACGCCGUCGCAGGGUCCGCCAGGUCGCAAGCGAUUUAUAUAGACCCCGCGUUCGUAAAGACCAUCCGACACCGAGAAGCCGAAGUCUUCGUAGACGGGGUCCUUGCGCAACGACACGUGCACUAUCUGCUGGGCUUUGUUGUCGGGAUCGCCGCAUUCUUGUACACUGAAAAGCAAGAAACAUAUAUUAUAUGAGGAUUAUUGUGAAAUAAAUUGUUUCAUUGUGAGUGGAUGAAUCGAUACCCUGGAUAAGACGGCAUUGACAGGUCUAAUUGUCCGCUGUCUACAGAGACGGUAUCCCAAAUUCUCAAUAUCUCUGGCAUAGUAGUACUCUCUCCCAACUCGCCCCAAGAAUCCACCGCGCUGUCCACACUAGGAAGACUCUCUCUAGCCGAGCGUAACGCGUUUGCUGGAAACUGUGGCUGGACUGUAUCGCUUCCUAUACUAAGCUUCCUGCAACAAGUAGAGUCUCUUUUCUUUCAAGUAUCUUGUGAGUAAACAGCUUUCUAUUUCUGCAUAAUUGUCGAAAAAUUUAUUUUAAACAUUCUCUUAUUUAUGCCAACUUUCCUAGUAACAAAGUGACGUCAUUAAAUGUCAAAAUGACAAUUUUGACGUCUAGUGACAUCAUUUGACAUCAAAAUGACUUACUUUUGUUGUCUGGGUUUACUACUAUGACCACUUUUUACUUUUUCAUUUUUUUAUAUUGCAUAUUCUUAUUGCAAGUUAUGUGCAUCAAGAUCCCAGGUAGCAAAUCGACGUCAUUAAACGUCAAAAUGACAUAAUUUUGACGUCUAAUAACGUCAUAAAAAUUCAACAUUUAUAAGAAAUAUUUUAGUCAUCCUAAAUAUACCUUGUUUCUGAAUUAGGGUCUGACUUUCUGACAGUUAAGGCGACUACCGAGCUGCCAGGUCGAUGUAACAAUUGGGCGGCUUGUCUCAGAUCUCCAGAAUCUAGAUUCUCUCCGUCUAUUGCGAGCAACCUGUCGCCAGAUGCCAAGCUGCCUGUUCGAUAAGCGAGUGAUCCACGACGGACUUCCGUGAUUAUCAAAUCCUCGUUCACCGUAAGACCCAAAUCGGGUUGACCACCCAGCGGCCUCGUGACUCUCACUGUGAAAACUCCGGAAUUCGGAACCACUGGUCCACCCACUCUGUAUUCUAUCACCAGCUCGAUCUGAUUGUGCCAAGGUCGCGCAACAUCCUCCGGUUGAUCGCGACAGCCUUGUCGCCGGGCAGAAGGACGCCGCUUCGUUCCGCCGGGCCACCAGCCUCCAGGAAGCUGACGAUGUAGUUCAUGCGAUCCUCGACCAGCUUGAGCGCGAGGCCGAAGCCCCGGUGAUCCGGCCGGAGAACGACCGUCAGGCUCUCCUUCAUCUGCAGGAUCUGACUCGAGUUCUGCUGGGCCUGCGGCUGCGCUCUUCUCUUCACCGUCCUCGGCGGUCGCGGCAAUAUUUGUAGCCUAGCGAUGCGGCAACUCUCAGAGUUGCUUCUGAGCAACUUCGCCGCGGUCGCCGCAUCCUGGACAGGCGUGUCGUCCACGGCCAAGAGCCGAUCUCCCACUUGCAGGGCGCCGCAACGAUCCGCGGUGCUCGCUGGACGGAGACUCUCUAUGUAGAUUCCGUUUGAAGUCUCCCUCACGGUUAAUCCCAGCUCUCCUGAGGAUUUAUGUUCAGAUUUCAACUGAAUGAGCAGCGGACCGGAAGUGGCCGCACGCGCCUCCUCCAUGUUCGCGACGUCGUACUCGAUGGUGAGAGACGCGACAGGUGCGUCCGAGCUCUUCUUCAGGGCUCGCUGCGCCUCGGCCAAGGUGAGGCCCCGCAACUCGGUGUCAUCCACCGCCAGCAACCGAUCUCCAGGUCUGACUCUUCCCUCCUUGGCGGCCGGCCCGUCCGCUUUCACCCCGGUCACCGUCAGGGCCUUCGACACUCCACCUCGAAGAGUCACCCCGAGGCUGCCGCCUUCCCGCUCGACCCUCACCUGGGCGACCUUCGAGGAAACGCUGAACGACGACAGGCCGAUGACGUUCGUCGCCUCCUGAUCGUUCAGCAGCAAGAAGCUGUGAGGAUGAUGCUGGAUCUCCUCCGCUCUGCUCGAGUCCGAGUUCGCGGACGCGGCGAUGCUUCCCGGUCUGGCGCGAUUCUUGUGCGAGCGCAUAGUUGUCAGCCUCAAUGAACUGAACAUCUUUCUUGAUCCUUCCGUGCUUCCUCGGGGUCGCGAGCCGAUGUAUAUACUUUGCCCAAAUUUAAUUCAGCGAAACAAUUGUCACUUCAAGGAAGGAGAUCUUUCGAUGAUAUGUGAAACAUAUUCUAUAUUACGUUAUACUCAUCUCGUCGAAUAUGAAGAAUAUUUUUCAUUUGAAAUUAAAAGCGAUUUUAUCAACGAAAAAUAUUUAUAGAGGAUCUUUAAAUUUGCUAAGCUCUAACACUCGUUUGAAAGAUCAAAGAUAUGUGUCUAGCCAUCUGUAGAUGAAUUUUUAGCUUAAAUUGGUAAAAAAUAGAUCUUUCACUGAACAGAAGCAAAAAGACGACACGUAUAUAUAUAUAAAAAAUCAGAUCUCAGUGGCACAAUCACGAUUCCUUUUGCUCAUGGGGUAAACAAGUUGUCUUUGUUCGAUUCUCUAUAGGCGCAGCGUGAAACCACCGCACUCUUACCGCGAAGAAACUCCUUAUAACUGAGUGCGGAGCUAUAACAACUCACGAGAUGUGGCUUUCAAAAAUAACUCCUCCAAUAUAGGGCCGUAUCAUCGUGCAGACGAACGGAUCUAUUUAUACAUAUGAUGACGUGCACACUUUCGUUUUACGUGGGAACGUUCAUGCGGCCCUGUGCGGACACUUCUUCGCGGUUGCUGUAGCGUUAAAUGAGAUUGUGCGUUUCUUAUUAAAACUUAGGCUUAGCUGCAUUCGUCCGAAGUGCCUAUGCACGAUAUAAGAGUUCAACGUACACUUCAUUAGCUAUAAGAGCAUAUAUAUAUAUAUGCUCUUCUGUAAGCGCAUGUUAAAUGCACUAAUCAAUCAAAUUUACAAGUAUAAGUCAUACACAAUGUUUGUUAUCUAAAUAAAAUUAUAUAGAUAUAGAUGAUCAUGUAGAUCAAACUUUCGCGUCUUCUUAUUUUUAUAUAGAUAAUAAAAAUGUGUAUAUUAUCUAUAUAUC